AUCCCUUUGUAGGUCAUAAGUGUGACGGAUGACUGGCGGUUCACACUCUUGUGUGACAUGUGCCUCCCUCAAGCCUUGUUAUGACAUUGGCACAUUACCUACCUAUCCGACG
rnacentral:snoRNA from 1 species